rnacentral:RNase_P_RNA from 1 species
GGAGUCGGCCAGGCAGUCGCGUCAUUCCCUCGGGAAUGCCGAGGAAAGUCCGGGCUCCACAGGGCACGGUGCCAGGUAACGCCUGGGCGGCGCGAGCCGACGGAAAGUGCAACAGAAAGAUACCGCCGAUGGCCUUCGCAUCCUCGGGUGCGCGGGAUCAGGCAAGGGUGAAAUGGUGCGGUAAGAGCGCACCGCGAGUCCGGUAACGGACCGGCACGGCAAACCCCACCGGGAGCAAGGCCAAAUAGGGACCUCAUGACGUUGCCCGCGUCGGGUCCGGGUAGGCUGCUCGAGCGUAACGGCGACGUUGCGCCUAGAGGAAUGACUGUCCACGACAGAACCCGGCUUAUCGGCCGGCUCCGCCC